rnacentral:piRNA from 1 species
UGACCAAGGUUCUGGCAUCUGACAAG